AUUGAACGCUGGCGGCAUGCCUUACACAUGCAAGUCGAACGGUAACAGGUUAAGCUGACGAGUGGCGAACGGGUGAGUAAUGUAUCGGAACGUGCCCAGUCGUGGGGGAUAACUGCUCGAAAGAGCAGCUAAUACCGCAUACGACCUGAGGGUGAAAGCGGGGGAUCGCAAGACCUCGCGCGAAUGGAGCGGCCGAUAUCAGAUUAGGUAGUUGGUGAGGUAAAGGCUCACCAAGCCGACGAUCUGUAGCUGGUCUGAGAGGACGACCAGCCACACUGGGACUGAGACACGGCCCAGACUCCUACGGGAGGCAGCAGUGGGGAAUUUUGGACAAUGGGCGCAAGCCUGAUCCAGCCAUGCCGCGUGCGGGAAGAAGGCCUUCGGGUUGUAAACCGCUUUUGUCAGGGAAGAAAAGGUUCUGGCUAAUACCUGGGACUCAUGACGGUACCUGAAGAAUAAGCACCGGCUAACUACGUG
rnacentral:rRNA from 1 species